ensembl:snRNA U1 U1 spliceosomal RNA
AUACUUACCUGGCACAGGAGAUACCAUAAUCAGAAAGAUUGGUUUCCCAGGUCAGGCUUAUCCAUUGCACUCCGGAUGUGCUGACCCCUGUGGUUUCCCCAAAUGCCGGAAACUCAACUGCAUAAUUUGUGGUAGUAGGGGACUGCUCUCCCCUG